rnacentral:piRNA from 2 species
UAUGUGGCCUUGAAAGAGGAAAAGCGAUC